rnacentral:rRNA from 1 species
GAUGAACGCUGGCGGCGUGCCUAAUACAUGCAAGUCGAGCGAACAGACGAGGAGCUUGCUCCUCUGACGUUAGCGGCGGACGGGUGAGUAACACGUGGAUAACCUACCUAUAAGACUGGGAUAACUUCGGGAAACCGGAGCUAAUACCGGAUAAUAUAUUGAACCGCAUGGUUCAAUAGUGAAAGACGGUUUUGCUGUCACUUAUAGAUGGAUCCGCGCCGCAUUAGCUCGUUGGUAAGGUAACGGCUUACCAAGGCGACUAUGCGUAGCCGACCUGAGAGGGGGAUCGGCCACACGGGAACUGAGACACGGUCCAGACUCCUACGGGAGGCAGCAGUAGGGAAUCUUCCGCAAUGGGCGAAAGCCUGACGGAGCAACGCCGCGUGAGUGAUGAAGGUCUUCGGAUCGUAAAACUCUGUUAUUAGGGAAGAACAAAUGUGUAAGUAAAUAUGCACGUCUUGACGGUACCUAAUCAGAAAGCCACGGCUAACUACGUG